AGAAUGUAUUCCAAGAAUGCAAACCAAACACAGCCUGAAUAUGAUCUGAAGCUUCUCUUCACCCGUCUCCGCUGCCGACCUUUUUGCUCGUUUUGGCUUAAACCAUCGUGACUUCAUGUAUUGGAACAUUACCCCUCCCUCUUUUGCUGCUCCUGUGUUGCAUUUAAGACUUGUAAUUUGGGCAAAAAGGGUCGAGUUGCUCUAGAGAAGACGAAGCAUGGAGGAAGAAUUCGAAGACGACAUACCUUGUUCUUCCAUUGCUGUUGAUUCCAUCACUCGUUUCGCAACGGCAGGAACCAUCUGGGGUUUGUGUAUAGGUCCAUACGAUGGUCGGAAGAGAGGUCUUGCUGGCGUUGCUCGUGCAUCUUUUGUGGUAAAGUCAGCUGGCAGAUAUGGCUUACAAUCUGGACUUUUUGCCGGAGUCUUUUCUAUUACACGGUGUGGGAUUCAACGAUACCGCAAACGGAAGGAUUGGGUGAAUGCGUCAAUUGCGGGUGGCAUUGCUGGGGCAGCUUUUGCUGCAAGGACCCGAAGCUGGAUUCAAGUCUUUGGGAUGGCAGCUUUAGUGUCCACCAUAUGUUCCGCUGCUGACUACUCAAAAACAAGCUAACUCAUCUCUAGCUGGGUGCCUAAGGUGGGAUGAAUGUUCCCCAUGCAUCUCCUUCCCCUUAUUUCAAUUGUUCAUCCCCGAUCUGCUGUUCUUAACUCUUAAGUUUAAGAAGUUUUGGUCGUUGGACAUCGGGUGUUGUUCUGAGCUAUUUAUUAUGGUGCCCAAGUUCAACAUCUCCCAACUCUGCCACCUCAAGACAGCGUGUACUAUCUAAACUAAGUUAUGAAAUCUUUCGAAUUGUUAAAGGGGAAGUGACCCGGGUCAGAAUAAUGAAGAUGGGUUCAUUUUCCGUUUUGUUUAAUUGAGAACUGUAAAAUUUUGAAGACUGCUGAGAUUCUCGAAUACAAAGUGGGUCACAUGGUUGAGAUGCAUUGCAGAAGUUGGCAUUUAGCCGAUUCAAAAGUCUGUGCGUGUAUGUUUGGUUAGGCAUUGGUUUGAAAUUAGCCUUGCAAUUUGCUAGGUAACAGCCUUGAAUUCAUCACAGCAGCCUCUACCAGAAUUCCGAGCUAUUGUGCAGGAUAUUAAUGUGCUUACUUCUCCACUUUCAUAUUGUGUUGAAGCCAAGAGACUUUCAGAGAGAUGGCAUCAUUAGUAUUGAAUUUACUUGGAUAGUUCCUCUGAUGGCGCAAUUUUUGUCUGAGUGGAAGACGGGCAUAAUCUGGUCCCCGCAUUAUUCCAUUUACCGAUCUUGUUUUUUUCUCCAACUGUGUUGAAUUCACAUUAGUCUCAGACGUGUGGCCUUGUCCAA